AGAUAUGAGGGCAAUCUGGCUGCAACAUUUUUCACCCCACUGAUCGCCAGGGUUGAUUUGGCUGAUCUGGCUGGCUAGGCGGGUGUCUCCUUCCUUCCUGACCGCUCCAUGUACUUCCCUCCCAAAGCUGUGAGCUUGGUUGAAAGAGGAUGACCACCCCCAACAGAGGAGGACCAUUUCCUCAGUCAAGGGUAUAUGAAUAGCUGCACUGCCUGGCUAGAGCCUCCAGACAGGCUCUCAAAACAUUGGGACUGUAGGAGACUGUCCUCAAGUCUUAACACUUACGUGUUUUAGU
rnacentral:snRNA from 1 species